UACGUAGGGUGCAAGCGUUUAAUCGGAAUUACUGGGCGUAAAGCGUGCGCAGGCGGUUUUGUAAGUUUGUCGUGAAAUCCCCGGGCUCAACCUGGGAAUGGCGAUGAAGACUGCAAGGCUAGGAAUCUGGCAGAGGGGGGUAGAAUUCCACGUGUAGCAGUGAAAUGCGUAGAGAUGUGGAGGAACACCGAUGGCGAAGGCAGCCCCCUGGGUCAAGAUUGGACGCUCA
rnacentral:rRNA from 1 species